rfam:Triticum aestivum genome assembly, contig: Triticum_aestivum_CS42_TGACv1_scaffold_005096_1AL
CUUGUACUCCCUCUGUCCGAAAAUACUAGUCAUUAAAAAGGAUGUAUCUAGAUGUAUUUUAGUUCUAGACACAUCCAUUUUGAUGACAAGUAAUUCCGAACGGAGGGAGUACUUG